rfam:Cryptosporidium muris RN66 scf_1106632353999 genomic scaffold, whole genome shotgun sequence.
UACUUUCAGCAACGGAUGUCUUGGUUCCCACAACGAUGAAGGACGCAGCAAAGUGCGAAAAGCAGUGUGAAUUGCGGAAUUCUAUGAACAAUCAGGUCUCUGAACGCAAAUGGCGGCUGUAAAAAGCCAUGCUUGUUUCAGUGUCU